rnacentral:rRNA from 1 species
AGCGAACGUUAGCGGCGCGCCUAACACAUGCAAGUCGCACGAGAAAGGGAGCAAUCCCCGGUACAGUGGCGCACGGGUGAGUAACACGUAGAUGACCUUCCCUGGAGUGGUGGAUAACCUGCCGAAAGGCGGGCUAAUACAGCAUGGGACCACAUGGUUUUGACCGAGUGGUGAAAGCGGGCCUCUGUUCACAAGCUCGCGCUCUGGGAUGGGUCUGCGUCCCAUCAGCUAGUUGGUGAGGUAAUGGCUCACCAAGGCAUUGACGGGUAGCUGGUCUGAGAGGAUGACCAGCCACACUGGAACUGAGACACGGUCCAGACUCCUACGGGAGGCAGCAGUGGGGAAUCUUGCGCAAUGGGCGAAAGCCUGACGCAGCGACGCCGCGUGGGUGAUGAAGGCCUCGGUUGUAAG